rnacentral:rRNA from 1 species
GGAGACUGCGAGCGUUACUCGGAUUCACUGGGCGUAAAGGGUGCGCAGGCGGCCGAAUGUGUCAGGUGUGAAAGCCCGGGGCUCAACUCCGGAAUUGCGCCUGAAACUGUUUGGCUAGAGUCUCGGAGAGGUAAGCGGAAUUCCUAGUGUAGCGGUGAAAUGCGUAGAUAUUAGGAGGAACACCAAAGGCGAAGGCAGCUUACUGGACGAGAACUGACGCUGAGGCACGAAAGCGUGGGGGAGCGAAAGGGAUUAGAUACCCCUGUAGUCCACGCCGUAAACGUUGUACACUAGGUUUUGGGCGAUUCGACCCGCUCAGGGCUCAAGCUAACGUGAUAAGUGUACCGCCUGAGGACUACGACCGCAAGGUUA